AUUGAAGGAUUAUGCCAUCAAAGCUCUUAUAAAUAUUGUGGACCACUUAGGUUUUGUAGCUUAUAAGAAGAGUGAUUUGUUAGAUGAGAAGGUCAAUGAAGUUUUUGAUGAAGAUCCACGUUUAUCAUGUGUCGAGCAGAUUAUGAAGGGAUCACGUGGUGAUGUUAGCAUAUUGCAUACUCUUGUUGUCAAUAACAGACAAUAUUGGUAUAUCUUACAUGCUCAUGUGAUAGAUUGUAUUAGUAAUCAGUUAUCGAGUUCUAAAAAGGACCUUUCCUGGUAAAUUGGUCGUUCUAAAGGCUAUCUGUUAUGGGUUUGAGGAAACUACUAACCCAGCUGUUUGUUUGAGCAAUGAUAUGGAAACAAAUGAGUGUUUGACAAACAACGGUGGUUGUUGGCAGGAUAAAACAGAUAGUAUCACCACAUGCAAGGAUACAUUCCAUGGGCGAGCAUGUAAAUGCCCUUUGGUUAAUGGUGUGCAAUUCAAAUUAGAUGGUUAUAAAACUUGUGAAGGUGAAAUGACUUUCAUCUUUACAUUAAAUUUAUUUCUAAAAAUGCUUAAUAUUGAUAUCUAAUUUUUAUUGCCUUCACUUCUAUGUUGUGCAUAACAGGUUGUAAAUUGUAAUGAUGAUACUUUGUUAUAAGACAUCUGUGAUUUUUUCCUGGUGUGCACUCGGAGUCGUGUGUAACUAGCUUAUUUUGUGUUUGCAGGUAGUGGACCUGGGCGUUGCAAGAUUAACAAUGGAGGCUGUUGGCAUGAUUCCCGGAACGACCAUGCAUUUUCUGUUUGUGUGGUUAGUAACCUUUAAGUUUCUUGACCCAACUGCAUUCAACUUAUUUAUCUUUAAUAGUUUUUUCUUUAAAUGGUUAAAGUUCUAUUGCCUUGUAAAUCCCAAAUUUGGAACUGAGUUACUACACAAAUUAUUGUGGAAACAGGAUGAUGGGGGAAUUAAAUGUCAGUGUCAUGUCGGGUUUAAAGGUGAUGGUGUAAAAAUUUGUGAGGGUAAAAAAAAUCAGAAUUCAUAAGUUGAAUGUUAUCUAUUUGUUUUGGAAGACGUUGAUGAAUGCAAAGAUAAGAAAGCUUUAUUAGUGAAAGUUGUAUUUACUAGCAAACACAUUGUCUUAAAUGGAGACAUAAAAGUGGGGGCUGAUUGAUUUCUAGUCAUUUUAUGCUGGCUUACUGAGUUUUGUCCCA